GGAUACUUAAUGACUAUUGGAGAACCAAGGCUGGGCUAGCAGGGCUUGCACACACAUGAAGGGAAUUGAUACUGACACUAGGCCCGCCAGUACGCAAUCCGGCCCAGUCAAUACAUAGGUCUACCGGUGAACAGAAAGUAGCAUUCAACUACUACAAUAAAUUUGUCACCAACUGAAGCAGUGAACUAUUUUGUUCACGGAUGAUCAUCUGCAACACAAAGAAUUAUUUUUCUGGAAGAACAUACAGGAGAAAGGUCCAGGUAUCAAAAUUCAAAUAUAUUCCAGGCCUUCUUAGAACCAUAUCACAAGAAAACUAAUCCCCAGACUCAUAAUCCACAGUCAUAUAUAUAUAUAUUUGUAAGGAUCCUCUUUUCAUGUUAACAUGGCAAAAUUGCCUCCACAAAACAUAGAAAAAUUGACAAAAUCAACAAUCAUCCCCCUUGAAAGACAGAUCGAUGAAAUAGCUAACUGAAAGAUAAAUAGGUGUUGGAAACAAAAAAGGAACAAAAGUGGGAACCACUUCAUCUGUCACAAAUUCCAAGCAUUUUAUUGGAGAAAUAAAACAAGGUUCAAGAUCGUUUACAUGGAUUACAUGGAUAAGAUACAACACUAGGUAUCACAUUCCAAGUUAUUAACUUUUGGUCCAUUCACUAUAAUUUGGUCCAUUCACUAUACAAGAAAAAAAUGGGCACAGGAUGGUCUAGGUCAAGUGAUUUUUAAUAAGUUAUGGUAGCAAGGACUAGUUGGUAAAGAAAUAGAGAUCUCAGCAUCUAUCAAAGAGGUAUCAGGUCUCUUACCAAAAAAACAGAGGUGGGUCAGAAUGCAAACUGUUGGGCUAUGACAACUAAAGCUUAUGGCAUAAAAGUUAAUCAGCAUAAAACCAAUGAUAUACCACCAUACUCGAACAAAUUAAAUUUAAUUAUUCAUCCAUGGUGAAAUGAUGCUUCAUAAAAACAAGCUUAAGGUCACUGCAAUCACACUCAUAAAGUCUAUCCUCAAUGACAUCCAAUAUCCCCGAAAUUCUCUCUUUAUAUUAAACCACCAUAGGACAUAUUCUAGGAGAAUAGCUUAAAAGGUUCAGGUCCACCCAGAGUCAUGAAACACCAAUAGGCAAAUAACUGUAACAUACCUAUGAAGCCACUAAGCAACUAGAAGUGUAGAAUAUGCUACAACAUUCUCAAACUCUUCCUCUAUUCUUUAAAGACA
rnacentral:lncRNA from 1 species